rnacentral:lncRNA from 1 species
UAUUAGAAAAAUGGCCUGUUUCCCUAUGUUAUGCCUCAGAGAGUUUGUUCUUCUCUCUGCCAUUUCUAAGAUGUUUCCAUUUUCCUUUUUACCUGGGUACGUUUGCCACCCUAAGCCCAGUCAUUCCAACACAGGUGAAAGCUCUUGAGGUCAGGGACUGAUUCUUUGCCUAUCUUCCAGCAGCGGUAGAUUCUGGGGCACUCAAUUAGUACCUGGUGGAGUUGAAUAGUGAGAAAAUCUGCUCAUCACAGAAGAAGGAACGGGGAUGAUUUCCUAAGUUCCCAUUUUCCACAAAGCAGAAAAUGGCAUGAGAUCAGUAGUACCAGACCUCCCUUGAGACCAGCCUGGCCAACAUGGUAAAACCCCAUCUCUACUAAAAAUACAAAAAAUUAGCUAGGCAUGGUGGUGCACGCCUGUAAUCCCAGCUACUUGGGAGGCUGAGGCAGGAGAAUCACUUGAACCCAGGAGGUUGGAGGUUGCAGUGAGCUGAGAUCACACCACUGCACUCCAGCCUGGGUAACUGAGUGAAACUCUGUCUCAGGAAAAAAAAAGUUUAAUAGUUAUUACCAAAUUGCCUUGCAAAAAGUUGCACAAAUUUGUAUUCCUGUGAAGAACGGUGGUGUAAUUCUUUGCCAGGGAUUUGUGUUCUCAAACUUUUGCAUUUUUUCCAAUUUGUUACUUGACUUUUGAUAUGACAUCUAUGUUUUGCAUUGCUUAUUUUCAUAUUUGUUUGGUCAGCAUUUCUUUAUUGGUUUGUAUACAG